GGCCGGGGAUAGCUCAGUUGGUAGAGCAGAGGACUGAAAAUC
rnacentral:tRNA from 1 species